AAGUAUUUGAGAGAUAUUAAAGUAAGAAUCUGGACAUCUUCGAAGAGCAACAUUAUCCCCACAGCUAAGCUCCAUAUAUUUCAUGCCUGAACAUUCGACAGCAUACAAUUCUACGGGUCGGCCAUCACGUAAAACUUGGGAGUUAAUAAAAAUCCUUGAACUAGAGUCUUUUAAAGUAGAUGAAUCGUUUAGUUUGUUUAUAUUUCUGUUUGAAAGGGGUUGUGAUGGCUCAUCCUCUGGGCGUUUUUGGUAUGAAAAAGAAUCGUUCCCCAGCUCAAACUGGCGAAUAAAAUUGGCUGAAGCCAUUAUAGUAUAUUAAAAUAAAAAAUGCCGAAAAAAUAUCGAAUUUUUUAUAAAGGGCAGCACGUUUUUCUCGAAAAUAAGGGUGCUGAACUGACCAUGAAAGAAGACUCGAGCUCCUCACCACUUGGUUUGUUUAAGAGAUUGUGAAUUCCUUUCUUUUUCAAAUAAAUAGAAGUAAUUUUUUCGGAUUUCGUGUUAUACACAAAUUCGCUCUGGGAAGGUUCACGCAGCUGUAUACAUUUGGUACGGCGUUAGACCGUAUUCGAAGUAACGAUAUAUGAGGCUUCCUAAGGAAAACAAAGGACUACUUCAAUGUUCGUUUCUUCUGGGGGUUUUAUUUAAAGGCUACUUAGAAAUGGAAUUCUUUCUCAUUUCAAAUACCCUGUUGAAAAAUUUCCAACUUUGCUAUACUCAACGACUUUACUGUUUCGGGAUAUGCAAAAGAGACGGAUUUUUCAGUCAAUUCUAAU